ACCAGACUCCUACGGGAGGCAGCAGUGAGGAAUAUUGGUCAAUGGUCGGGAGACUGAACCAGCCAAGCCGCGUGAGGGAUGAAGGUACAGAGUAUCGUAAACCUCUUUUGUCAGGGAACAAAGGCGGGGACGCGUCCCCGGAUGAGUGUACCUGAAGAAAAAGCAUCGGCUAACUCCGUGCCAGCAGCCGCGGUAAUACGGAGGAUGCGAGCGUUAUCCGGAUUUAUUGGGUUUAAAGGGUGCGUAGGCUGUGAGGUAAGUCAGCGGUGAAAUGCCCCCGCUCAACGGGGUGAAGUGCCAUUGAUACUGCCUUGCUGGAAUGCGGAUGCCGUGGGAGGAAUGUGUGGUGUAGCGGUGAAAUGCAUAGAUAUCACACAGAACACCGAUUGCGAAGGCAGCAUGCCGGCUCCACACUGAUGCUGAGGCACGAAAGCGUGGGUAUCGAACAGGAUUAGAUACCCUAGUAGAC
rnacentral:rRNA from 1 species